AGCGAACGCUGGCGGCAGGCUUAACACAUGCAAGUCGAGCGGGCCCUUCGGGGUCAGCGGCAGACGGGUGAGUAACACGUGGGAACGUACCCUUUGGCUCGGAAUAACGCUGGGAAACUAGCGCUAAUACCGGAUACGCCCUUUUGGGGAAAGGCUUGCUGCCGAAGGAUCGGCCCGCGUCUGAUUAGCUAGUUGGUGGGGUAAUGGCCUACCAAGGCGACGAUCAGUAGCUGGUCUGAGAGGAUGAUCAGCCACACUGGGACUGAGACACGGCCCAGACUCCUACGGGAGGCAGCAGUGGGGAAUAUUGGACAAUGGGCGCAAGCCUGAUCCAGCCAUGCCGCGUGAGUGAUGAAGGCCUUAGGGUUGUAAAGCUCUUUUGUCCGGGACGAUAAUGACGGUACCGGAAGAAUAAGCCCCGGCUAACUUCGUG
rnacentral:rRNA from 1 species